rnacentral:tmRNA from 1 species
GGGGGUGACAGGCUUCGACUCCGGUCGUCGAGUUGGGAGAAGCGAGCCGUGGUCUCCGGAGCCACGUUAAAGAGCCGGAACCAACAACAAACGCCGAGCCUCAGCUCGCGCUCGCUGCCUAAGAACAGCGACGUCCGACCGACCCCAGCCCUGCGGGCCGGAUCCGGGCGACAUCUCGCAGGGCUCACCUGACUGCUGCGCCGACGGGCGGACAGGGACACUUCAGUCGGAUACGGAGCGGCAUCGAUGCCGGUGCAGGUGCCGCUCUCGACAAUCUCUCACCGGCUGCGCUCGGAGAAGGCCCAGUGAGAAGCCGGAGGACGCGGGUUCGAUUCCCGCCACCUCCACGG